ensembl:ncRNA Y66A7AL.4 ncRNA
ACGCCUUGGGAGCUCAUCCCAUCAGGGGGCCUAGCCCUCAUGUGGCCUAGCUUUUUUUUUUGAUUUCUAGGCCAUGCCAUUUUUCUGAUGGCCUAGCUUUAGCUUUGUUUCUAGGCCUCAAGACUAUCAGGCGUAUCACCUCCCAAGGAC